ACGCUGGCGGCGUGCCUAAUACAUGCAAGUAGAACGCUGAAGGAGGAGCUUGCUUCUCUGGAUGAGUUGCGAACGGGUGAGUAACGCGUAGGUAACCUGCCUGGUAGCGGGGGAUAACUAUUGGAAACGAUAGCUAAUACCGCAUAAUAGUAGAUGUUGCAUGACAUUUGCUUAAAAGGUGCAAUUGCAUCACUACCAGAUGGACCUGCGUUGUAUUAGCUAGUUGGUGGGGUAACGGCUCACCAAGGCGACGAUACAUAGCCGACCUGAGAGGGUGAUCGGCCACACUGUGACUGAGACACGGCCCAGACUCCUACGGGAGGCAGCAGUAGGGAAUCUUCGGCAAUGGACGGAAGUCUGACCGAGCAACGCCGCGUGAGUGAAGAAGGUUUUCGGAUCGUAAAGCUCUGUUGUAAGAGAAGAACGAGUGUGAGAGUGGAAAGUUCACACUGUGACGGUAUCUUACCAGAAAGGGACGGCUAACUACGUGCCAGCAGCCGCGGUAAUACGUAGGUCCCGAGCGUUGUCCGGAUUUAUUGGGCGUAAAGCGAGCGCAGGCGGUUAGAUAAGUCUAAAGUUAAAGGCUGUGGCUUAACCAUAGUACGCUUUGGAAACUGUUUAACUUGAGUGCAAGAGGGGAGAGUGGAAUUCCAUGUGUAGCGGUGAAAUGCGUAGAUAUAUGGAGGAACACCGGUGGCGAAAGCGGCUCUCUGGCUUGUAACUGACGCUGAGGCUCGAAAGCGUGGGGAGCAAACAGGAUUAGAUACCCUGGUAGUCCACGCCGUAAACGAUGAGUGCUAGGUGUUAGACCCUUUCCGGGGUUUAGUGCCGCAGCUAACGCAUUAAGCACUCCGCCUGGGGAGUACGACCGCAAGGUUGAAACUCAAAGGAAUUGACGGGGGCCCGCACA
rnacentral:rRNA from 1 species